GGUCUCAUACCUCAGCUGGUAGAGCGUGCGCGUACAAAGCGUAGGCAGCGUCCAUGCGUGGGUUCAAAUCCCAUCGAGGCUG
rnacentral:tRNA from 1 species